rnacentral:rRNA from 1 species
UACGGAGGGUGCAAGCGUUGCUCGGAAUUACUGGGCGUAAAGCGCACGUAGGCGGCUUUGUAAGUCAGAGGUGAAAGCCCGGAGCUUAACUCCGGAAUUGCCUUUGAGACUGCAUCGCUUGAAUCCGGGAGAGGUGAGUGGAAUUCCGAGUGUAGAGGUGAAAUUCGUAGAUAUUCGGAAGAACACCAGUGGCGAAGGCGGCUCACUGGACCGGUAUUGACGCUGAGGUGCGAAAGCGUGGGGAGCAAACAGG